rnacentral:rRNA from 1 species
UGUUGCGGUUAAAAGCUCGUAGUUGGAUUUCUGUUGAUAACGGCCGGUCCGCACUAUGUGCGUGUAUCAGGUUCGGUGUCGGCAUCCUCGUGGGGAUCGUUUCUGUGCUUGAUUGCAUGGGGCGGAAUUCACGACUUUUACUUUGAGGAAAUUAGAGUGUUCACGGCAAGCUAUCGCUUUGAAUACAUUAGCAUGGAAUAAUGAUAUAGGGCGUAAGUUCUAUUUUGUUGGUUUCUAGGACGUACGCAAUGAUUAAUAGGGAUAAUUGGGGGCAUUCGUAUUAACGCGUCAGAGGUGGAAUUCUUAGAUUGCGUUACGACGAACUACUGCGAAAGCAUUUGCCAAGGAUGUUUUCAUUGAUCAAGAACGAAAGUAUGGGGAUCGAAGACGAUUAGAUACUUUUUUAGUCUAUACCAUAAACUAUGCCGACUAGAGAUUGGAGGUCGUUUUUUUAUGACUCCUUCAGCACCUUAUGAGGAAUCAAAGUUUUUGGGUUCCGGGGGGAGUAUGGUCGCAAGGCUGAAACUUAAAGGAAUUGACGGAAGGGCACCACCAGGAGUGGAGCCUGCGGCUUAAUUUGACUCAACACGGGAAAACUUACCAGGUCCAGA